rnacentral:rRNA from 1 species
GACGAACGCUGGCGGCGUGCUUAACACAUGCAAGUCGAACGGUGAUGCUCCAGCUUGCUGGAGUGGAUCAGUGGCGAACGGGUGAGUAACACGUGAGCAACCUGCCCCAGACUCUGGAAUAAGCGCUGGAAACGGCGUCUAAUACUGGAUACGAAACUGGCCCGCAUGGGCAUGGUUUGGAAAGUUUUUCGGUUUGGGAUGGGCUCGCGGCCUAUCAGCUUGUUGGUGUGGUAAUGGCUCACCAAGGCGACGACGGGUAGCCGGCCUGAGAGGGCGACCGGCCACACUGGGACUGAGACACGGCCCAGACUCCUACGGGAGGCAGCAGUGGGGAAUAUUGCACAAUGGGCGGAAGCCUGAUGCAGCGACGCCGCGUGAGGGAUGACGGCCUUCGGGUUGUAAACCUCUUUCAGCAGGGAAGAAGCGAAAGUGACGGUACCUGCAGAAGAAGCACCGGCUAACUACGUG